AAGGAAUGACUCACUUGGC
rnacentral:piRNA from 1 species